CUUCAAUGAAAUGGCGUUUGUUCUCGUUCUCCGCUCGAUGAACGAGUGUGUGUGUGGUUUGCUCUCCUGUAUUGGCGCGUUGGAAGAACUGCUCGUGUGUGUGAUUGCUGCUCUCGACAAUUUAGCGAUUAUUUCCGUGCUGAUGACCUGUUGAUCCGAAAACGCGGUGUGCGUGCAACUCCGCGGGGUUUCAGCUACCUAAUGUUCGCUCUUGUGUUCAUACUCGGCUGAGUUGCGAGUGUCCAUUUGUACAGAAUAUACUGCAUUGCAACCCACUUCUGCCUU